rnacentral:lncRNA from 1 species
GGAGCAAUUGUAAAGAAAAAUGGAGGGGAGCACUAAGAAGCAAGAAGCAAAGGUGGCAAAUGAGCCAACUGAUUCCACCCUCGAAAAACAGCCAGCCCCAACCCCCCCACAAGGGGAAUCGGAAGCCGAUAGUUCCGAGGAAGAAGUUCCCCAAGAGCUGAAAGUGUGGGGCUACGGAGGGGCCGAAGGGGGGGGCUGCUGGCUGCAGGAGGAGGCCUUGAGCAUUCCUGGAUCGGCGGAGGAGGAUGAGGAGAGUGAGGCUAUCCAAGCCAUGGCGCUCGGGGUGGAAUUACAGUGCAGGCUCCAGCUCCACCUGGAUCAGCUGGAGGCCAAGGCCAAAUCCAGGGCCAGGGCCAGGGCCAGGGCCAGGGCCAGGGCCGCGAUGGCUGCCAGACGGGGCAGCCCGGAACGCGCCCUGGGAGCUUCGGCAAGUCCGGCAGCCGCGGCCCGCCCUCAGCCCUUGGUGGUCCGGGGCAGUCGGGGGGAGCCCCACAUCCGAGCUCAAGAGACGGAGGCCUCCCUGGGGCAGGCCCCUGAGGAAGUCAAACCAGGUGUGAAGGGAGGCCGAGAUCCAUUCGGGGCUCCCGUUCGGAAAACGGGAAAGGGCCCCAGAGGAAAGGAAGCUGCUGCUAAAGCUCGGGAAGGUCCGCCGGCCUCUAAUCCUCCUAGUAUCUGCCAGAGAAGAGAGAACUACCCAAAUCUGGAGCUGAAAGGCUCGAGAGCCACGUUCUCAGGGACCCCAGUAGCCAGAAGCCGGGAGAGACCCCAAGUCCGCUCGGGGAGCAGCUGGAGAGGUGAGACCAGGGAGCCCUUCCGCCCGCCCACCACGUGCCUUCCUCAUCUGCUCUUUGCUUCAUCUCUCAAUGAAAAACCCAAGUUGCGCUUGGACAAGACCUCAGCCCGAAGCCCGGCCGAGCUCCCCGGGCCUCCAUUCCCCCUCUUUCAAAGAAGACGAUGACCGUUGGGAUCUUUCCAGCUCAGUGUCUGCUCCUCAUUCUCGGCCUCUUUCCGCCCCUCAGACCCUGCCGCGUGACCUUAGAAAGCCCCUUCCCCUCCCCCCUGUCCCCCUGCCUAACUGUCUCAUCUGUCUCUCUCGGACAUGCUCCGAACACAGGUUGCCCGUAUUUCCCAGCUAGCAUCGGGGUUCCUCUCCCCUCACCUCCAGCACGGAGCCCUAGUGUAUGGCAGGUGCCCCCCGCCAGGAAGGCCAAUGGGGGGGGGGGGGUUUGGCCCCUGCCCCCGGGUUCUCCUGCCCCUGGGUUCAGAUGUGUUUGUGUGCGCUCGCGUGACCCCAGGCAAGUCCCUUCUCUUGAAGCCUCAGUUUCCUCCUUUGCCCCCGGCGAAUGGAGGGGGCUGGGCAUCCACACCCUGGAAGCUCUUUUCCAGCCCUUGCCUCGCGUGUCUGUGCGCGAGUUCGGGCCCACGGCCGUCCCCCGCCGUCGUCAGCACGGCCACUUCUGCCGCCUCGGCCGCACCCCGCAGACUCUCGUGGUGUCCCAUACGUGCGGCCCCCUCCCCCACCCCCGGCACCCGGCCCACACUCCUCCAGAAGCAGAGGAGGCCUCUGUCUACCCCUCUCCACCUUGCGGCCCGUCUGAGCCAGAGACGUCUGCCGGUGGCAGGAAGGAAGAGUCCCAAGCUCCCGGCAAGUCUCCCGCUCCAGGGCCUCCAGCAGAAGAAAAUACAAAGGAAGAGCCUCUAGCGGGAACUGAAGGCCUCGUUCCCACGAGUCCCCACGCAGGUAAGACUGUGACUUUUCCCUUCAUCUGGGUCAGGGAAAACGAGAGACCGAGGUGGAAAGGGCCUCGGAGAUUAGCCCCUCCCUCCCGUGGAGAAACUGAGGCACAGAGCCAAGGAUUGACUUGUUACAGGCCUUGCCUCUUAUUCAGAGCUACAAGCCCCGUUAGAAUCUAAGUACCCUAAAUCUCCAGCCCAAGUAACGAGCACGGAGACUCGGGCGGCAGGAACCUCUAGAUGCUAGUGCUACAGAUCCAGGGGCUGGCCCAGAAACAACAGCACCAAGCAGGGCAAACGUGCAUCCCGGGGAUCGCGAGCACACUAGGGAAGGUCCCGGCUUGGGGACGGGGGCCUCACUCAGCCUUGCUCACUCGCUCGGCCCCUUCCAACUUAGGGAGAGAGGAACCCUGGAGCUUCAGUCCACAGUUCCCUCCCCCACCCCCGCUUCUCGGGACGGGACGUCACAGCCUCCAACACAACCAACUCUCACUGAGCUUGGGAGGAUUAGGGACUCUGAGCACACCCUCCCCCCAAUUUCUGACAGCAGGGUAAUGGAGCCAAACUUCCAGCCAGAGAUUCACCCCACUGUACCCAAAGCCAGGAAAAAACACUGAGGGAGGAAGAAAGUCUUCUCUUCUCUGUGUGGGUGAUGAGGAAUAGCUCAGGUCAGGGAGGCCGGGGGCUUAGGGGGAGGCGCAGCGGGCUUCAGGAAAUCAGGGCGUGCUUAAGGAUCAGGAAGACACCCAGAAGCCUUCUUCGGCUUGGCUGGUACCACACCCUUGUCCCCCAGGCCUGGACACAGGGGGCUGGUCUGGAUGGAAAUAUUGUGAAAUAAGGCAGAAGGAGGAAGUAAGCCGGAGACAGAGAAGGAAGGAGACAGAGAGAGAAAGGAAAAUGAGAGAGAGAAAAGAAAGAAACAAAGAAAAAGACAGAGAAAGAAAAAGAAAGAAAAAAAAGAGAGAGAGAAAACAGGAGGGAGGGAGACAGAGAAAGGAAAAUGAGAGAGAAAACGGAAGGAGACAGAGGGAGAAAGGAAAAUGAGAAACAAAGAAAAUGAAAGUGUACGAGAGAAAACAGAAGGAGGAAGGGAAACAAAACAGGGAGAAAAGAAAAUGAGAGAGAGAGAAAACAGAAGGAGGGAGGGAGACGGAGAAAGGAAAAUGAGAGAAAAAGAAUGAGAGGAAGAGGGAGAACAGGCAGGUUUUUGGCCAGUGUGUGCAGUGAUUUCAGAGGCCAAGAAUGAGGCCUAUUUCCUUCCCUUUGUUUCUCGGAGUAGCCUUUUCCCAGGUCCCAAUGCAGAGGGGGAAUGAGGCUGGUCAAUACAAUAAUUGCUUGGAAAACAGGCAGGCACGGGGAGGCCCGUCCGGGACAGCUUCCUGGUAUUAUGGAGACUCGGGGUUGGAGGCUGCUGCUGCUUAGACUAAAGAGGGGAAAAGAGGCACAAAAGAGACACUUUCCUCAAGUUGCUGUAGGACCUGCAGGGCCGGCCUCAGUGGGCCCGGGGUGUGGACGCCACUCUAGUCUCUUCCUUCAGAUAAGCCGGGCUUCCCCAGAAGCCCGUGCUGAUUUUCUCCCGAUGGAGCCAGAAGCUAAAGUCUUCCUCCACGGCUGGUGCUGGGAAACAUUUGAGUAAAACACGGCCCGUCAGAGCCAGAAGGGAUCUGGGGGACCCUUGUCCUAUAGAGGAGAAGGACCGGGGGGCGGGAUAGAGCUCAGUCCCAGAGUGGGAAAAGGUGCCGCAGUUAGUGACAGGUCAGGAGAGCAAGCCUACUAACCACCCAGCUCCCCUCGUUUGGGUGCUGCAGCAAGCGCCAGGGGGGUACCCUGGGCCUCGGUCUCCAUGAAGAGAAGCCUCCAGAAGCGAAGCAGUCCCUGCCUCAGUGAGCUCAUGUGGUGCUGGAGGAGAUGGAAGAAGGAGUGAAAAAGCAAGAGACGCAGGGUGCCGGGCUGGGCCCUGCCACGGGGCCCAGUGGGGAAUGGCUUCCUGGAAAAGGGAGGCAGCCCCGGGGCUGCUCAGUGAAGAUGAUCCGUAAGGUGCACGGGAGUCGCUCGGGACCCUCUUCUCCCCCAGGCCCCACUUGAGCUGCUAGGUCAGAGCCUUACGUCUCCUGUUGGAACCACACCCCGCCAGACGCCCGGCCGGCCGUUGGGCCUUAGGAGUCUCUUGAGGGAGGGGCCCCUGCUCAGAGGCCCUGGUCCCCGGUUUUGGAAUCCUUAAGUCCAAGCAGUUCCCUGGGGUCUCCGGAGGACCUAGAGCCGGUGGGGUGCUGGAAGGUUGGGAUCUGCCACCCUUUAGGCUCCUCUCUCCGCCUUGUCACCGAGAUCUCGGUUACGUCCCCCCUACUUGCUGGGGCCGUCUCCCCAGUUACCCCGUCUCCCUUAAGCUCCCUCCCAUCCCUAAGUCUUGAACCUGGGGAGCCAGGCUGGGCCCCCAGGGAGGGGGGGGGGCGACCUCGGCCACGGUUUGUCUCUGUAGCUCCUCGGUGCCCGGCAUGGAAGAGAGAUUCAAAAAAGGUUUCUAUGGGCCUCCUUUUGGGCUGAGGGAUGGGGAAGGG